AGAGUUUGAUCAUGGCUCAGGAUGAACGCUGGCGGCGUGCCUAAUACAUGCAAGUUGUGCGGUAACAGAGAGAGCUUGCUCUCUGCUGACGAGCGGCGGACGGCAGAGUAACGCGUAGGAACAUACCCCAAACUGAGGGAUAACUGCUCGAAAGAGUAGCUAAUACCGCAUGUGGUCUUCGGAUUAAAGCUUCGGCGGUUUGGGAGUGGCCUGCGUCCGAUUAGCUAGUUGGUGAGGGUAAAUUGCUCACCAAGGCGACGAUCGGUAGCUGGUCUGAGAGGAUGAUCAGCCUGACUGGAACUGAGAACGGUCCAGACUCCUACGGGAGGCAGCAGUAGGGAAUUUUCCACAAUGGGCGAAAGCCUGAUGGAGCAACGCCGCGUGCAGGAUGAAUGCCUUCGGGUUGUAAACUGCUUUUCUGUGUGAAGAAUAUGACGGUAACACAGGAAUAAGGGUCGGCUAACUACGUG
rnacentral:rRNA from 1 species